GGGAGAGAGUCCAUAUCAUUACAUGUAACUUUAGAACCUUUAUGGUAAGCCUAGCAAAAGCAAUAUUAAUCUAGACCAAUUCUUCACAUCUGCAUGCAACAUUUUUGUACAAAUUUUCAUACAAAAAUCUACUUUCCAUUAAACACUCAUGGUCUAGCUUUACCCUUUAAAACAAGGUUAACAGUGAAUAACAGUAGCUAACCCUUUUUUCCAAGGCCACUACCCUAAAUAAUACUUGCUUCCCAAGGCCAUUAAAAAGUACAACACAAAAUGCAAGGCACUUAUAGCUCAACAAAAUUCAUGUGUGCUAAAGCCAUCUAUCCUUGUCCAUCACAGAGUUACUUUAAAACAGAGAGAUACACAGCAGUUUUCUGUGACAUCUUUCGUUCUUUAUUAUACUGGAAAUUCAAUACUAGACCUAGUCCUGCUCUAUAUAAUCACAGAAAUAGUCAUAGAAGUAUGUAAAUAAGUAAACAAGUAGGAGUGGAAACAUGAACUAGGCUCUGCUGCCAAAUAAACAAACAAAAAGGCUGCAAUUGGAGAUUUUCCAUCCGUCAAACAUGACGCUGAAUUGAAGAUCUCUAACUUCCCAUUAGCUGUGAGGGAUAACAAAGAAAAAGCUCUUUUCAUGCAUCACUGGACAGACCUCAAAAAUCAUGAAUAAUACAUUUAAAACAAUAGAAACACACACAAAAAGUGGUGCUUUUAAAGUUUUCUUUUUGUGACUCAAUAGGCUAUGUUAGAAUUAAAGGGACAUUAAGCAUUGCUUGCUGGGUGGUAAGUCUUAGACAACUAAAAUCAUAUUUAUUUUAUAACAUAAUGUUUUAAACAUGCCAAUUCAAAACAAUGAAAGUUGUAUGUUACCGUAAUUUUCAUGGUCUUGAGAAAUUUUCUUUAUGUCAUCUCCAACCUGUUCAACAAUGAACCCUUUUCCACUGUGUUGAAAAUUUGUUUGACAUAAAAUAAGUGGCAUAGGCUUUAUAAUCAUAUUCAUAUCCUACGUUCAAUUGGGCUUAAUCCCUAAUAAGUGUAUUUUGGCUUUGUGUCUGCACAUGUCUCUGUGCUUGGCUUCCUUUGUUAAAACAGAUAAUAACUGAAUAGUUUAUUAUUGUUGUUAUUGUUAUUACUAAAGGAUGAGUUGGGAUAUUCUAAUGACUAAGGAUUUAUUUGUGAAUUCAGUUAAGAUCACAUUUGUAACUACGACACAUGAAAGACCACUAAAUGACACUGUAGAAGAAUUACAGUUAUCCUUCUUACCUCUUUUCCCAAGCACUACUAUUGUUUCAAAAAUGACAAAGUGCCCAGAAGAGGGGGGGAAAUUCCCCUUUAAACAAAGAUCUCUUGUGGCUGUUAAUGCAUGGGAGAAUGUGUAACCUGGCCCUGAGGCUUGGCCAAACCAGUAUUCCCAGCUCUUUCCCCACUGCCUGUGGCUCAAUUAUUCUUACUCUUCAGUUCCACUCCCUUUUCCGGCACUUUGUCACCAUUAUAAUUUGACUGCAUUCCUCUGCAUGGGAUCAGCUUUACACAAAACAUAUAGAUUUAUUUCACCUAGAAAUCUUCUCCUGGUCACACAGACACCAGAGAAUCAAUUGACAGAUAUUAUUCAAUGCACCCUAUUUAAAUGAGUUAUUUUAUUUUAUAUGACUAUUUACAUUUUGGCCUUCAACUAUAUGCUCCAUGACCAAGCAAUACACAAAAAAUACAAAUUUAUAAAAAAAGAUCAUAUAUACAGUAGUUUGGAAAAAGGGCAAGGAAAAUGUUUUUUUUUUUUUAAAAUCUCUGCUGGGUAUCAAAGUAAGAUGACUACAGAAUAUCUUAUCUAAGGAGACCACUACAGGGUCAGCAUACAGUCUCUGUAAUGGUUAUUUCUAUAUGUGGCAAGGUAGAAAAGGACCUCCACUUAUAUUGCUAGGUAGUCUUUUAGUUACCUCUGACCCAAGCAAGCCAUGAAAGAUUUUAAAUGUCAUCACUGAUAUAUUGAACCAAGUCCAGAAUUAACUAAUGCUAUAUGCUCAAAGCAAAUGUUUCCAUUUGAGAGUUUGGCAGUUGCAUUUUGAUAUUUCACCUUCAGAAGAAAUGUCUGAACUCCAAUCUAGGUGAUAUGACAGAUGGAUAACUGUAACUGGGGAAAAACUAUUGGGAGAAAAAUAGUGACUGACAUAGUAGUCUAUAUUAGUAUAUGUUACAUAUUCAUAAUGGGAAUGGUAAUACACUACUCUCCAAGAAUGCUUGUAAAGUUAAAAGUUAAAAACCAUUUAAGGAUAAGGCUCAAACUGAUAAGCUUUAACUGUAGAUGUAAAAUAAGCUGUUAUAAUGAUGAUCAGUUCCUACAAUGUAGCAAUCUUUCAUAUUAACUAUUCUGUAUUUUUUUCUCCCCUUAUAUUUUAACCAACUUUUCCCUGCCAUUUCUGAGCCUUACAUGCUAAGAACGCUUCAACAUGUAAAACUUUCAGCAGCAUCUAUUUCAUUACCAUAGCUAACAUUAUCUCCAUCAUAUGUUGGUACCAUUAACCCAAUAAACAAGUCUAUAUUUACUUCAGGUUAUUAGAAUGCUUGUUGGGAUAAGGCUAUACCUGAAUAUACUAUAUUGCCUACAAUACCCUAAGACAUUAUGCCAAUCCUAUGGGAAAGAAGUGGGCACUUUCCUUAUCUAUCACUUAUGCUGUCAUUCUAAAGGGCAUAUCAUUCUAAGUGUCAUAUAAUUUUUGAUUGGCAUUGUGCAUUUUUAAUAGAAAAAUGUAAUGGCUAUUGUUAAAAACAAUAUAUUCAUUAUUUAUCCCAUUUGUACUCUAAUGAUUUUGCCAAGACGCUUGAGGUUUUUAAUAAUAAUGUAUAAUUCUCUGACAAUCUAUUAUAAUCAACUCUAAUCCCCAUUUCAAUGAAUAAGAAUACAGCCUGAAACAGAUGAUACUGAUUAAGACUUGGCUAAGCUAAACCUAGGACAUAAAGUUUUAACUACAGUUAAGUAUGUAACCAUGACAUGUUUGUGAAGCAAAAAACCAUGAACCUAGAGAUCACAAUGAGUGGAUUCAUAUGUAUGCCAAUCCAAAAUAAAAUACAUUACAUUAUAUAUUAAAUAAUAUGUCUAUUUGCAACUGGUAAUAUUAGAAUUAUCAGAUUUCCCACUGUAGUUGCAACAUACGUAGUGGGCACCAAAUAAGAGGAGAUAUAAGAAGCAGCAAGAGAUGAGAAAAUGAACAAUUUGUUAAGCUGUUAAAAAAUUAUGUUUCCAAAAAUCAGAUUUUGUAAUAGCCUAAAAGCAAACUAGAUUGCUUUUCUUUGGGCCAUCCGGUGCAAUAUAAUAAAUCAAAUAGAAGCUAUGAAUAUACCUUUGAAAAUGUACAUAUAGGCAGUCCUCAACUUACGACUGUAAUGGAGCCUCCACAUUACGAUCACAAAAUAGUAAUGGCCAUUAAGCAAGACAGCCUCGUUUAACAAUUCCACACUGCAUGCUGCACCUGAUCUUAGGCAAACACAUGGAUCAUUAAGGGGAGCAGUGGUGCCUCAGUAAUGGAGGCGGCUCUAGAAGGCCUAGUGCAGGUCCCAUCCCAUCCCAGGGCUUCUCCCACUGCUGAACAAUCCCUAUGUUCAAAUCCUGUACUGAACAGUUAAGGAUUAAACCUGGACCUUCUGUAUAUUCAAUCAUAAAAUUAUGGUUCAUUCAAUACUAAUUGCAGUUUCUCUUUAAUGCUAUUACUGAUAAACUUGUUUCAUAGUUAAUUUAUUAGAACGUUAAUAGUAGUUCAGUAAUCCAGCUACUCCAUGAAGCAUUUAAAUACUACUACUAAUCUAAUAACGAGCCAAUUUGGUGUAGUGGUUAAGUGUGAGGUUAGAGCAGUGAGUUCUAACCCUCCCUUAAGCAAUAAGUCAGCUGGGUUACUCUGGGCCAAUUGCUCUUGUUCAACCCUAGAAAGCAGGCAAUGGCAAACCAUUGGCAGUUUUGUAGUGAUUGGGGAAAACAUUCUAUUUUUUCCUCUUUCUAGAUUAACAUAAUUCAGAGGUUUCAAUUUCAAAUCUUUAUUGUCAGUGCACAACAUAUGUACAAUGAGAUUGGUUAUGAGGUGCUGUAUCUGUGAUUGUCACACUAAAGGUCAGAAAGAACCUCCACUGCUACUACUAUACUUGUAUUUAUCAAUGGACAUGUUGACACAAAUGCAGAUUUAGAAGUGUCAUUCACCUCACAAUCUAAAAACCCUACAAAUUCACAUAACCCUGCAGACCUAUCAAAACUCACAUUCUAAUACAAUUAAAAACACUUUGAGGCUUCAGAAUUAACACAACUAUUGGUUCAAAUAGCUUGUGCACACCUUCUAAGGGAGUGCUUUAACUAUAAAGAACCAGCUGGGCAGCCCAAAAUUAUUCUGAUUGGAAAAAUAUAUGAACACUGUAGCAGAAUUCCUAAAACAAAGUUUUUAGGUUUUUAAAAAAGCAAGCCCCAGUCUCACUGAAAAAUAAUUGGAGAAAAUGGAAAAUUCCAUCCCCAUCUUUUUUAAAAGGUAAAAGUAAAGGUUCCCCUCGCACAUACGUGCUAGUCGUUCCCGACUCUAGGGGGCGGUGCUCAUCUCCGUUUCAAAGCCAAAGAGCCAGCACUGUCCCAAGAGGUCUCUGUGGUCAUGUGGCCGACAUGACUCAAUGCCAAAGGCCCAGGGAACACUGUUACCUUCCCACCAAAGAUGGUCCCUAUUUUUCUACUUGCUUUUUUUACAUGCUUUCGAACUGCUAGGUUGGCAGAAGCUGGGACAAGUAAUGGGAGCUCACCCCGUUAUGCAGCACUUUUUUAGAGGUAUGUAAAAAUAGGGUAUACCCCUCAAAAUGAACUGCCACGGUUUAUUCCCUGGACUCGCUCUAAAGUGAGCCAGCUAAGCUUGUCCUGAAAUCAGUAAACUCGGAUUUGGCUUAACGGUGGUUCUAAUUCGCACUCUGGGCGGGGCAAGUAUCAAAAAACUGGUGUGAGAAAAGUCACCAGCAAUCUCGUAUCUAAUAUAGUCGGCUAGUAUGUUUCAGGGAACAUACAACGGGAAGUUUCUCUUUUGAGCAACUGAAUUCAAAACUCCUUCAUAGGCAGCACGGGAUAUAACCCAACCCGGACCUGAAACCUCCCACCUGCACAAAGCAAAGUUUCUAGCCAGGGCUUUAAGCAGCCUUUCCCCCUCCUUCCACCCCGCGACUACGCCGUUUCCAGCACAGCCCUCCUCCCUUAUCGAGCGGGCGGGCCUUGAUUUCAGAGUCCGCUCCUUAGCAACGAGCUAGGCCGCACGCCCUGUUUUUCCCAACCAGCCUUCCCCAGCUUAGACGCUUACAGGUCGGCGCCCAGUGCGCUGAAGCCUGCGUUGAGGCAGAAACGGGCGAGGCGCCUCCACAGCACAUCACGGCAAGUGAAACGGAAAAGGCGGCGACAGGUCUGGCCCAGGCGGCCCAAGGCCCUCACGUCCAGACACUCCAUAUUUGCCAUCUCCAGAAUAUCUGAAAAUAUAACUGACUGCUGUUUGCUUUUCAUGUGCACUGGAGAGGGCAAGCAAAUGAAUGAAAAAUAUAGGACUAUCUGACACAAUUACAUGCCUUAUUCUUCAAAGAUAGCUAAGCAAAGGCCAAAAAAGAUAACUCCUCUUCCAAGGAAUACAACUGAUUUCACUUCCAGUUUGGCUUAUGAAGGAUAGUGGACCUUUACGAGGUCUAAUACAUGGGGCUUGGUGAAAAACAGCUUUUUCUAUUUAUUGCUUAAAAUGCCUGAAGCAUUUGUUUCAAACUCCUAGAACUUCUUACAAUAUCAAAAAUAUAUGAUUGCCCUUGUAGAAUUAUAAUUUGAGUUAUGUAUUAAUAAUAUGAAAUUAAUUUACAAUCAUUUUGAUGACCAACAUUCUUUUUAUAUAGAAAUCAGACAAGAUACAGUACAAAUAAUGGAAAAAAUAAAAAUCAUCAAGCAUUACUAUUCUAAUGCAAAAAUCAAUAUCUGUAUUUUAAAUAUCCUUCAUUGCAUUUAUGCCAUGUUCAGUAUUCAAUUGUUUCUUUAAGUAUUUUAAAGAAUACUUAAAUUCUUUGAGUAUUUUACAAACAAUAGAGUAUAUGCUUAAAUUCCAAGAACCAAGCUAACAACCUUAACUUUUUUUCCAAAUAAAAAAUGUCAACUGA